UACGGAGGAUGCGAGCGUUAUCCGGAUUUAUUGGGUUUAAAGGGUGCGUAGGCGGACUGUCAAGUCAGCGGUAAAAUUGAGAGGCUCAACCUCUUCCCGCCGUUGAAACUGGUGGUCUUGAGUGGAUGAGAAGUACGCGGAAUGCGUGGUGUAGCGGUGAAAUGCAUAGAUAUCACGCAGAACUCCGAUUGCGAAGGCAGCGUACCGGCAUCCAACUGACGCUGAGGCACGAAAUCGUGGGGAUCAAACAGG
rnacentral:rRNA from 1 species